rnacentral:rRNA from 1 species
AGCGAACGCUGGCGGCAUGCCUAACACAUGCAAGUCGAACGGCACCACCGUAACAGCUUGCUCACACGUGCGUCGCGCGUCGGACCCGUGCCUUAUACACCGGAUACUUCUCCUUCGUGGGUGCUAAUGUAGGGUAACUUCUGCUAAUACCGCAUACGACGCAUGGGUGUAAGCACGCGUUGUAUUAACUUUUUGCUAUUGUAAGAGCCUAUGUCGGCUCCGCUAGUUGGCGGGGUUAAGGCGCACCAAGGCGGCGAUCCGUAUCUGGUCUGAGAGCGUGUUCAGCCACACUGGAACUGAGACACGGUCCAGACUCCUACGGGAGGCAGCAGUGGAGAAUAUUAGAGGAUGGGGGCAAGCCUGAUCCAGCCAUACCGCGUAGGUGAAGAAGGCCUUCGGGUUGUAAAGCCCUUUUGUUGGGAAAGAAAAGCAGCAGGUUAAUACCCCGCUGUUCUGACGGUACCCAAAGAAUAAGCACCGGCUAACUUCGUG